rnacentral:lncRNA from 1 species
GGCUGGUGGAAGAGAUGAGGAUAAAGAUGCAGAAAUGGGGGGAAAGAUGUCUCAAGCAGAUAUUGGGGAAGGGAUAGUGCUUAGGGCACUAGCAGAGGGUUUGGCGUCCAGCUGCAUUUGGAAGAGAUGUUUGGGAAUUGACUUGAUGAUCCCCUGAGGAACUGGUGGUUAAAUUUUUAGUAAGCUGGAUCCACACUGUCCUGAAAGCCCACAUUCUCCUGGUCUGGAUGGUCCGUUAUCUAACUGUUUGGAUAACUGGGUGUGUGUCCCAGAGCUGCUGUUAGAUAGCUCUUUGAUCUUGUGGGGAAAAAAAAAAGUCCCUUCUGGUCUCUGAGCCUCCAUGUCCCUAUCUUGUGAAGUGGUGGAUUUGAACUCAAGAACCAGGGUCCUUUGCUCUUGCAGCAGUACUAACUUCUCAUGGGAAUAGAAGAAGUUCCUGCCAUUUUAGGUGAAGGUUUAAUGCCUCUGUUGUGCAGUUUUUGUCUUAGGGUGGGAGGGAGGCCAGCCUUCCUCCCCUCUGUGCUGGAGAGAGAGGUGAUUUGACCAGAAGAGUUAAUUAACGCCUCUGUAUUAUAUUUGCAAAUGUGUGUAAUGAAAUGGACUACUUCAUUACCAGGAUUCUAAGGGCCUCCUUCCAAAUGCUAUGAAAAACAUCUGUCUUUAUUAGCUGUAUAUAUAGCUGAACCUCAGCAACAUCAGGCAAUACUGCCCGUUUGUUGCUGGAAACUGAUGUGUCGUCAUUUGAAUGUGCAAGUCCACCCACUGGGCAUGGGCUGUGGAUCUGCCUAAGAGCCUAGUUCUCAGGAAAGAGGAUCAAACAGUGUAUUUGUGUUAAUAACCAUCGGUUGUUAACAGCCUCUAUCUGUGGAAGAAGAAUUUGCCUUCACCCCCGGAACUAUAAAAUUCAGCUCAGCAAAAUCGUAGAGUGCCUACUAUGUGUCAGACACCAAACAGGAAAAUGGUGACUAUGGAUAUCAGUUUGACUGAUCAAAGCCCAUAACCACAAUAAAAACACAAAACAGGAAACCAUGAUGAAUAUCUGGUGUGCAGCUAUUUGCAACACAAGGGGUGCAACACACCCCUAGAUGUGUGUGUGUGUGUGUGUGUGUGUAAUGACAGGCUGAACAGGGCAGGUUUUAUGGUGGGCACCCAGGGAGAAAAGCUGCACAAGUGAUGCUUUUACCUUGCUAUGGCUAUUCUGUUGAUCAAGAACAUUUAUGAUGGAUGAUCAAACACAACAGCAACAACCACACACACACACACCUCUGUAGCAUUUUGGUGUAUACGUGUGGUCUUAAAUUAGGUGUUUGAUGCAAGCUGCAGGUAGUUUUCUGAAGUAGCGGGUCUCAGAGUGGGGUCCAGGGACCUUUGAAGUUGCCCGCAGUCACACAGGGCCUCCAGCUAGAAAGGCUGGCACUUGGCUUAGUGCUCUGCUGGUCCUGUCUUGAAAUUGGAAGCAACUUUUGAACAAGGGGACCCCAUUUUCAGUUUGUGCUGCAAAUUAUUUAGCUGGUCUUAGCUGCUUAAGAUCCUUUCAUGGGAUCCAUGAGCUCAAAGCUGUUUUAAUAAUGAUGAUGAUGAUCUUACGACUUUAUUUGCCUUUCGCACUCUUUCUCACGCUAGUACAUACACAGCGGAAUUUUCCAGAGGCUACAUGACAUUGCAUCUGUAUUGCAGCAGAUCGACUGCAGAAGCAGAUACUGAGCAUCCAGUGAUUUACUCGGCAGCCAGACAUUAAAGAGAUCUGCAGACUUGAAAAAUAAUGCUGCUCAGCUCACUGCAUAUAUUUGGCUUUUGGGAAAUUUAGCCAAUUUUCACAAAAAUAUGUUAUUGAUGUUAACAUGGUUUUUAAGCCAAUUAAUAAUUAUUUUAAUUUUUUCUCAGUUUUGUUUUUAAUAUAACAUAUCAACAGACACAACUCAUGAAAACCAAAAGUUCUGACAAUCAUCCGUAAGUUUUAAGAGUAUAAAGGGAUAGUGAAAUUUCUGAAAUUUCUGAAAGCCAUGCACAGCUCUAUAGGUACUUACUUCUAUCAGAGGAAAGAAACCAUUGAAGAAAUGUGACCAAAAUACAAUGUGUUUGUUUAUACUUGGACUAGCCAAGGGUUUUCCAGAGAAAUAGAACACACACCCACACAAAUUUAUCAUAGAAACUGGCCCUCGCAAUUAUGGAAGCCAAGUCAUCUUGCUGAAAGUAGUCAUGCAAGCUGAAGACCCGUGAAAGCCAGUGGUGUGAUUCGAUCUUGAAUCUGAAAGUCCAAGACCAGGAGCACCAAGGUCCAGAGGCGAGGAGAAGAUGGAUGUCCCAGCUCAAGCCCAGAGCAAAUUCUCCCUUCCUCUGCUUUUUUGGUCUGUCCACACCCUCACUGGAGCAGACGAGGCUCCACCGUGUUGGGGAGCAUCAUCCCUGUCCCUCAAGUUUACCCGUGCAAAUGUGAACCCCUCCCAGAACACCCUCAAAGACACACUCAGAAAUAAUAUUUUACCAGUUAGCUGGGCAUCUCUGAGCCCAGUCCCAGUGAUAGCUAAAAUUAACCAUCACUCGGGUCCAUUUAUGUGGGUAGAUCUAUGUCUAUCAAAAGAUGAAGCAAAGACACAGUCUUUUCCUUACCCUUGAACUUCUGCAGAAUUUCCCAACACGUCCUCUCACACAAAUCUCUUGUUGCUCCUUGUUUUUUCUUCUCUGGAGAAGUUUCAGUGUGGCAGAUGCUGGCUUACGUCUAGCCAUUGGAACUUUCCAGAACAGAACGGCCACCCAGAGAGGCAGGGGACACCUCUUCCCUGAGAAGUUUCAGGCAGGAGCCGCUUCUGGUGGAGGUGCUCGAGAGGAUUGCAGCAUGAGGCAGGGAGUUGGAGAAAGUGACUCUGAGGUCCCUUGCACGUCAGGAAUGGUAGGAGACAGGGGAGUCUCUCCCUGCCCUAGUCCACACUCACAGGGCUGAGGUAAUAGUGAUGGGGGGCAUAUCUUAAGAGGAAAAAAGAAAGGGGUGUGGGAGGGAGAGCGUGCGUGAUGAUACUCCGAAGUGCCCAGGCAGUGGAGCAGGGACUGGAGAUUCUGGCCUUGCACACAGGAACCGGAACUGGAACCGGGCACCGGCUCCAGCCUGAGAGCGAGACUUCCCCCCAGUGACAGACGCAAGGGAGAGCCAGGCGGGCAGGGCAGGGUGGGAAUGGCAAUUGCAUGGCUCAUUCUUAUGACUCUGACUCACUGAGACUGACAUUUUUUUAGGUCACUGAUCCUUCCCUUCCCCUUUUAAGGCCUCUUUCCUCCACUUUUAGCACCAAAGUGCUGACGUGCUCCCCCCCCCUUAACAACUUGUCUUUUGGAACUCCAUCUUGGAAUGGAGUGCUAAGGUGCGUGGCUGGUCAGAGUUGAACCCGCCACCCUUGGAAAAGAAACACGAGGAUCCUGGAGGCAGUAUCUUCACCCCCUGGGGACAGAUCUCCCCAGCAGGAAAUUUUACACACUGGGUAAGCAGAGUAGACAUUUUCGGGGUAAGAACAUUUUUUUUCUAGAACUUCUCAAACCAUGUCUGCUGUUUUUAUGGGACCAUCAGUGAUGCAUCCCUUCCUCUCUCCACUUGUCUUCCCUUCUCUUUUUUUUUUUUUUUUUUUUUUUGUCUUUUUGCCUUUCCUGGGUCCCCUCCCGCUGCAUGUGGAGGUUCCCAGGCUAGGGGUCGAAUCGAAGCUGUAGCUGCUGGGCCCAGCCACAGUCACAGCAACACAGGAUCCGAGCCGCACCUGCGACCUACACCACAGCUCACGGUAAUGCCGGAUCCUUAACCCACUGAGCAAGGCCAGGGAUCAAACCCAAAACCUCAUGGUUCCUAGUCGGAUUCAUUAACCGCGGAGUCACGACGGGAACUCCAUGUCUUUCCUUCUUCAUUUCUACUUUUCCUUUGUUCUUCUAUAAGAGCUUUUACUGGAGUUCAUGUAGUGGUUCAGAAGGUUAAGAACCUGACAUAGUGAGGAUGCAGGUUUUAUCCCUGGCCUCACUCAGUGGGUUAAGGAUCCGGCAUUGCUGCAAGCCGCAGUGUAGGUCCCAGAUAUACCUCAAAUCUGAUGCUGCCAUGGCUGUGGGGUAGGCGGGCAGCUGCACCUCUGAUUUGACCCUUAGCAUAGAAACUUCAAUUUGCCAUCAUUUUCUAGCUUGUGAGCAGAAACAGGUGAACUGAUGAUCCCUGCAACUCAUUGAGGCAAAUGCUCUAGGGGAGGGUGUGCCAAGUGCUAGGGCAGGGCCCCCUGGGGUGGAGGGGAAGGAGGUUCCUGGCCUGGCCCCUGGAGGGGAAGUGGGUGUUUAUGAGGAGGCGUACGGGGCACUCUGGCCCAGAGAGGUUAAGCAAUGUGCCCAAGUUCACAAUGGUAUGUUGCUGGACCAGCGUUGAAAUCUGUUUUGGCUCCAUUACCUGCACCCUUGACCUGAAUGCAGUCCUGCCUUUCCAAAAAUGCAAGCAGCUUAGAGUGACUUGGAAGAGGGCGAGAUGGGUGAAAAGAAAGAGUGGUUGGGAAUGAGGCUGUGGUCAAGCCUGCGUAUAGCAUCCCUUUAGGUAUACCGGUAAAUAGGAAAAGGGGGCAAACCUUUAUGGAGCAAAGUCGACCCCAAUGUUUUCAGGUGCUGCUCAUUUAUGUUCAUGUCACAGGUUAUUUAGCAUGUAUUCAUUGUCCCUGCACCAGGACAGACCUCACUCCUGCCCUGUUUUGGAGCUCCCAGCUGUCCAGCACAGCUGGGGGCAGACUUACUGCGCUAAGCAGGAUUCACUGUUAAUUGUUCAACAUUAUUUCUACAGAUGCUGUGGUUGCAGCUUCUGGCUGCUUCCUUCCAAGACCUUUUGCCCCUUCUUCUAGCAAACAACCUGACUCACGUCUUUUCUCUCCUCCUUUCCUUCCUCCGGCUUCUCCAGUCAGAGGUGCAGAAGGGCUGUGAACUGGCCCUUGGCAGGUUUCCUGCAAAGAGAGAAGGAAGGGGCCCGGCUCAAUAAACAGGAGCUUACCCUUCUUGGCCGGGUUCGCUUGACAAAGAGAUUUGGUUCCUUCACCUACCAGCCUUUACCUGGCUGGUGCUGGCUGAGAGUUUAUUCCUUCAGAAACAGCAGGGGCCGAGGGAGAAUGGCCCACCCCUCCCGCAAGAAUGCAAAGAAACAAUCGGCUAUUAAUUUCCAGUAGGAUGAACAGGAACCCUUUCAGCCAGGAAAUCUAAAUUGAACAAUGAUUAAGUCAUUCAAGCUCUCUGGUCCCUGGUCCCUGAGUUCUUGGAGAGCAUUUUAGCCACUGGUCUUGGGAAGUUAUUUCACUUUUUUUUUUCUUUUUCUUUUUUAGGGCCACACCUGUGGCGUAUGGAUGUUCCCGGGCUAGGGGCUGAGUCAGAGCCACACCACAGCCUCAAAACGCCAGAUCUGAGCCGCAUCUGCAGCUUGCGGUGAUGUCAGAUCCUUAACCCACUGAGCGAGGCCAGGGAUGGAACCGCAUCCUCAUAUGUACUAGUCUGGUUUUUAACUUGCUGAGCCACAUCAGGAACUCUGGGGAUUUCACUUUUAAAUGAGGUGUCUGCUUGCUCCCAUAGGCAGCACCAUGUAGGCCUUAAGCCUAAAGAGUAGGGAGCCUUAAGCCUAAGGAGUAGGUUUAAGUCCCAGCCCUACCACUUGCUGUGUGACUUGGGGCAAGUUACUAAACUCUCUGAGCCUCAGUUGUCUCUUCUAUGAAAUGUAAAUAAUAAUAGUACCAGCCUCAUACUGCUGAUGAUAUUUGUGAUAUGCUUGGAACUAUGUAAACACUUUUAAGAGGUAAAUUUAUUAAAUAAAUGUAUUUAAUUAUCCAGCUGUGGGUGGUACUUGCUUCUGUCUUUUCUUUCUCUUGGGAUGCCUGUCAUUGGACAGAGGGAAAAGAUUUAGCAAAGAGGCUAAAAAGCAGAGAUUUGGGGGUCAAACUGCCUCAGUUCAAACCCUGACUCCACCAGGAGUGGAUGUGAUCUAAUCUCUCCGCUCCUCCGUUUCCUCCUCUGUAAAAUGGGUUUAUAAUUGUACUUACUGCCUAGGAUGAUCGUGGGGAAUAAGCCAUGUCAUGUUCUCAGUGUAAUGAGUGGCAGAUAGGAAAUGCUCACUAAAUUUUAGCUGUUGUUUUCAGGCACUC